AGAAUUAUGGUUUGAACUACGUAACAAUUACCUAGACAUCUUUUGGACUUCAGUUAACCUAAAUUAACUCUGCAAAAAGCGCUGUGGAGAACCUGGGUUUUAAUCUAGGGUUUUGCAAGUUCAUGCACCUGGCAGUGGCCUAAGGCGCAGAAGGACCAAACUGAGCGUACCUCCUCAUUUCCUUGAGUCACCUGUUUCACUUCUAAACCAAUGACUCUCAAAUUUGAGGGAGGAUCAGACUCACCUGGAGGCUGGGCCCCACCCCUAGAGUUUCUGAUUCAGCGGGUCUGGGGUGGGACCUGAGAAUUUGCAUUUCCGACAAGUUCCCAGUGAUGCCGCCGCUGCUGCUGGUCCAGGCACCACAGUUCAAGACCCACAGACGGAACUGGCCUCCUGUCAGUUUCUGAAUCGCCCCCGUGGCCGUGGAUCCACCCACAGCCUUCAUCUCUGCCUUGGGCUCUUGCUUCCUUCACUGCCUGUCUCCACGUGGAUCCCAGGCCUCCCUGGGAGCUCCCAGCUGGGAGGUGUCAAGCACUGCAGUAGAUUCUGAAGAUACAAAAAUAAAUAAAACAUUCCUGCCCUCAAGACACUUACACUCUUAUGUGUAACACUGUGUGACCAUUCAUCUGGGCCUUCCUGAGACAGUCUUGGUUUACACCUGUUUUCCCAAUCAGAGCAUCACUGCCUUUCCCACUAUUCUCCUGCAGAAGAGCAGGGGAAGGAAGCACCAGGGUCCAUCAUGGAGUUGUGACAACUGAGAUUCAGAGAUGUCCAAUCUACUCACAUAAAUAGCCUGGUUGAAGAUGGCUGAGCGUAAAACAGAAUGCAAGUCAGCUGGAGCACGUACUACUGGAGGCAGAGCCCCAUGAGAAGGGGCCAAGAACCCGCACCCAUCAAAAUCAAGAAGAAAGGCUGAACCCGGAGAGAAAAGGGAGCAACUGAUGUUGCCAUGCAGAUCCCUUGGUUGCUAUGAGAUGGUAACAUCACUCUGCCCCACCAUUGGCCAGUGCCUCCUCAGCUGCGGUGCCUCCCAGGCUGUGUGGUUCUCACGCGGGCCACUGACACAGAGCUGUUACUAUGGUGAACUUUACAAUUUCCUUUGAUUGGUGGAUUUCAGAAAUAGGCCAUCAGCGGAAUUCAUUAUAUUCAGCUAAGUAAAAAUGAAAAAUAAAUACUAUAACUUUCCCCUCAUCACUAACAUGAAGGAAACGUGACCCUUCAUGACAUAAUAAAUCGCUGUUCGGUAACUUAGGAUCCUUCAGGGGACUGAAGCGGGAUGAUCCUCCUAUGCCAAAUUUGGGUGGGAAAGAUAUUCCCUGUAGCUUUGAGUCGACUCUUCAGAGUUAAGGGCAGUGGGCCAACCAGAGUUGGAACUUCAGAGUUGGGAGGAGGUGUGGGAUGGGGCAUGCAUUGAAAUGUAAACUCUAUUGUCUCUGAAGUGAUGGGUGAUGCUGGGGGCCUGAGUGUGGAGGGCAGUUUUACAUCUCAGGACAAUGUUUUCUCAGAUGCUCUUCCAGAAAGAAAAGCCAGGAGUACUCCUGGCUGGAGGCGGCAUGCCUGAGGUCAGAGUCAAAGUAGGGUUUGUGCUGUCUGAAUCCUUUCUCCCACUCUCCCCAGCCUGGCUCAGCUUCUCAGCUUCUCAGGUGGAUUGGUGAGUCCUGGCCAAUUACGCUUCAGCUCAUCUCUACUCUCAGCAAAUAGGAAAAGGGAGUGAAGGACUGAGUUUUAACUCUUCUAAUUUCGUAACCUGACUCUCUAUAAGAAAAAGUAGGAGAAAGACUGAAGAACCCGAGAGAACAGGCCUCUGAGCCCAAGCCAAGCCAUCGCAUCCCCUGUGACUUGCCCGUAUAUAUGCCCAGAUGGCCUGAAGUAACUGAAGAAUCACAAAAGAAGUGAAUAUGCCUUGCCCCACCUUGACUGAUGACAUUCCACCACAAAAGAAGUGUAAAUGGCCGGUCCUUGCCUUAACUGAUGACAUUACCUUGUGAAAGUCCUUUUCCUGGCUCAUCCUGGCUCAAAAAGCACCCCCACUGAGCAUCUUGCGACUCCCACUCCUGCCCACUGAGCACCUUGUGACCCCCACUCCUGCCUGCCAGAGAACAAACCCCCUUUGACUGUAAUUUUCCUUUACCUACCCAAAUCCUAUAAAACGGCUCCACCCUUAUCUCCUUUUGCUGACUCUCUUUUCUGACUCAGCCCGCCUGCACCCAGGAGAUUAAAAGCUUUAUUGCUCACA
ensembl:lncRNA novel transcript, antisense to PELI1